rnacentral:rRNA from 1 species
AACCUUUACAAUGCACGCAAGUGCGAUAAGGGGACCCCGAGUGUUGGUGCCUAGCAUCAACUGUCUAACUGCCUAAAAAACAGUUAUUAGCAAGAGCCGGGUAAGACCGGUGCCAGCCGCCGCGGUAACACCCGCAGCCCAAGUGGUGAUCGUUAUUAUUGGGUUUAAAACGUCCGUAGCUGAUCUAGUAAAUUCCUGGGUAAAUCGAAUUGCUUAACAAUCCGAAUUCCGGGGAGACUGCUAGACUUGGGACCGGAAGAGGUCAGAAGUACUU